rnacentral:rRNA from 1 species
CGCCAGACUCCUACGGGAGGCAGCAGUGGGGAAUAUUGGACAAUGGGGGAAACCCUGAUCCAGCGACGCCGCGUGAGUGAAGAAGUAUUUCGGUACGUAAAGCUCUAUCAGCAGGAAAGAAAAUGACGGUACCUGACUAAGAAGCCCCGGCUAACUACGUGCCAGCAGCCGCGGUAAUACGUAGGGGGCAAGCGUUAUCCGGAUUUACUGGGUGUAAAGGGAGCGUAGACGGCAGCGCAAGUCUGGAGUGAAAUGCCGGGGCCCAACCCUGGAACUGCUCUGGAAACUGUGAAGCUGGAGUGCAGGAGAGGUAAGCGGAAUUCCUGGUGUAGCGGUGAAAUGCGUAGAUAUCAGGAGGAACACCGGCGGCGAAGGCGGCGUACUGGACGGUAACUGACGCUGAGGCUCGAAAGCGUGGGGAGCAAACAGGAUUAGAUACCCUCGUAGGC